CCUGGUUAUCUUUAUGAUGUGGCACUGUGUGCAUAUCUUCGUUAAAACGCAUUGAAGGCCACUGCACUCCACCCUGGGCGACAAGAGGUGACUGUGUCUCAAAAAAACCAAAAACACUCCCCCCUCACCCCAAAGCAUUAGACGUCAAGGCUGGCAGGGAUGUCUGUUCUCUUGAAAGUUCAAUAUCAAAAUACUUGGAAAUUAAACUAAAAUAGUAGAAGCAAGAACAAAAAUUAAGUUGAAGAUAAUGUCAAGAAUAUUUCCCACAAACCAAAAUAAUAAUGUAAAAACAGGAGAGAAAAGUUCAGGAAGGUAGAUGUCCAAGGUCCAUACGAUUAGCAUGCGUAUCAGAAAGAGGAUAGAAAAAAAUCAGUACAAUAAUUCAAAACACUUUCCAUACCAAUGGAUUGAAACUACAGUGAAUUUAAAGUAUUGAAUUGAUAUUGAACUUUCAAGAGAACAGACAUCCCUGCCAGCCUUGACGUCUAAUGCUUUGGGGUGAGGGGGGAGUGUUUUUGGUUUUUUUGAGACACAGUCACCUCUUGUCACCCAGGGUGGAGUGCAGUGGCCUUUAAUGCAUUUUAAGGAAGAUAUGCAAACAGUGCCACAUCACAAAGAUAAUCAGGUUUGAAAGGAAUCGGUUUCCUUUGCAAUCCUAAACGUCCUAGUCUGCUCAUUGAAAGCCAUUAUUUGAAGAAGGGUGCACGGGCUUCCAGCUGGCUGCCAAAGGGGACCUCCACAGGACACAGAUUAAGUACCCGCUUCAUUGCGGGAGACGAGGGGCGGGGACAGGAGGGAAAGAAGAGAGAGGCAUAAGUCACUUCCCCGCUGGCUCUGGCAGAGGUUUGGUCCCCUGAGUGCUCCUUUCUUGUAAGCAGUUCUUGUUUCAUAUUUUCACUAUCUCUGACACUGUUAACUGUACGAUUUUUUUUCUUCUGUACACAAAAAAAAGUUUGUUUCAAUAGUGAACUAUGAGCCAGGGUGGUGGCUUAUGCCUAUAAUCCCAGCACUUUGGGAGGCCAAGGCGGGCAGAUCACCUGAGGUUAGGAGUUCAAGAUCAGUCUGGCCAACAUAGUGAAACCCUGUCUCUACUAAAAAUACAA
rnacentral:lncRNA from 1 species